rnacentral:rRNA from 1 species
UACGAAGGGGGCUAGCGUUGCUCGGAAUCACUGGGCGUAAAGGGCGCGUAGGUGGUCCUGUAUGUCUACCGUGAAAGCAUACAGCUCAACUGUAUUUUGUCGGUAGAAACUGCAGGACUUGAGGCUGGGGAGGGGCUGGUGGGAAUUCCCUGUGUAGCGGUGAAAUGCGUAGAGAAUGGGGGAGAACACUCGUGGCGAAGGCGGCC